UACGCGGGGGGCAAGCGUUGUUCGGAAUUACUGGGCGUAAAGGGCUCGUAGGCGGCCAACUAAGUCGGACGUGAAAUCCCUCGGCUUAACCGGGGAACUGCGUCCGAUACUGGAUGGCUUGAGUUUGGGAGAGGGAUGCGGAAUUCCGGGUGGAGUGGUGAAAUGCGUAGAGAUCCGGAGGAACACCAAAGGCGAAGGCAGUGUCCUGGGGAGUACCUGACGCUCAGGUGCGAAAGCCAGGGGAGCGAACGGG
rnacentral:rRNA from 1 species